CCUGGGUCUCUUGAUUAAAUCCCAACCUUCCAUUCAUUUAGGUGCCUCAUAUCUUCAUUUAAAAACCUUAGCCACCCUUGUUCCCAUCUUUAAUUCUUAGUCCCAUAUUACCUACUCAAAUAAAUCCUCUUGUUGCCUACACCUAUAAAUAAACCUCAUGCCUCAACCUUGGAGGUCAUCCGAAAAUCCAUCGGGCCCUAAGCCUCCAC
rnacentral:lncRNA from 1 species